CUUGGUUAACUGCAGUAGGUUCCGCAAUUUCAAUAUUGAUGCCUCUGAAAGUCCAAACUUGAAAGAGCUGGCUAUCAUAGAGACCAAGGUUGAUCUUGCUAGAUCCACUGGAAUGGAUAUCUGUGCACCAAGUGUUGAAAAAUUGGUCUUCUUAUAUGCUUCACCCAGGAGAGAAUAUCAUGUAAAGGAUGUAUCAAACUGCCUUGAGUUUACCUUUGCUCUAUCCGACCAGCCCCAUGAGUAUUUGUGGAAGGAAGUGGGAGAGGAGUUGUUGUCGUUGAGAUAUCAUGUUGUAUUACUCAAUCUUCUUCCACAUUUUCAACACGUCAGAGUUCUCAGAAUCUGCAAUUGGUGUGUUCAGGUAUCAGCUUCUUUCAAAACAUUUUAUCAUAGCUUUUUCUGCAGAAUUUCCAGUACCAUACAAACUUUCAUUCACAAACUAUAUGUUUUCUGCAGAGUCUUUAUAAAGCUGAGGUCUAUGAUAAGACGAGGAGCAGGGUAUCCCUCUCUUGUACCAACCUGGAAAUAAAUACAUCAUUUCAGAGGUGGGAACUACCGGGAGUCACCUACAUGCUCAAAGCUUGCUCUGCCAUUGAGGAUCUGUGCUUUGUUAUGGCCCCAAAACAGAGUCAGGUAACAGUGAAGGAGCGAAGGUAACAUAUAUAUUGUAACUCAUCUGUAUUGCAAUUCUAAAGAUAUUUCUUGGCUUGUGAACAUUCAGAUCCCCCAACUGUUUCUGAAGCCAGAUGAUUUUGAAGAAAGAAUAUAUUGGAGAAACGAAGCGAAGUCUUUGGUGAUGGCCCACUUGCAGAACCUCAAAAUUAUGACAUUCAAAUUGCCUGGAGAGUGUUAUCACAGUUGGAAACUUUGGCCUCUGGACUUACGCACCUUCUUUAUGGGAAGAGAGAAUGGAGUUGAACUACUGGCAGCUCUUAAGCACAGCUCCAACAAUCAAUUACGCGUUGUUUUGUCCACUGAUAAACAGCAUCGACGUUUUCUUAUUAGGCAGUAAAGGGUUAAUCCUAGAUCCUUAUAGAACAAUUCUGGAGCAAGGUUGCAGUCAGCAACACAGUUAUUUCAUCCAUUGAAGGCAAUUUUGAAAGAACAAAAUCUCGAACUUCCAGAGUAAAAUCUUCAUCCAAAAGAAUACUUGUGUGAUUUGAUAUCAAAAUGCAGAAUUUGAAUGCCACACCCCUAAUGUAAGUAUUCGAUCCCACACCCUACACUAAGUGCAAUCAUACAUAGGGGUCUCGUUUUGAUCCUUUUAUGUAAAAUCGAACAAAUCCUACCAUACUAACACGAUGAACCGUUGUGCCCAAGCCUGAAGAUAUAUGUCAGAUAAUGCUUCUUCUUCUUUUCUUUUCUUUUCCUUUUUUUUUUUUUUUCCAAAAACAUGGUUGACUUGACAACCAUUCCAUGGACUGUUUAAGAAUAUGAAUUUUUGGUUUUCUAGUUAGUCCAAUAAUAGGAUUCUUGGGUUAUGUUUGGUUUCUGGAAAGUAUUAAAAAAAAAAAUGUUAAGGAAAAUGAUUUUCUCAUGUUUGAUUGUCCUAUGAAAAAUAUCAAAGAAAAUCCAAUAUAAUUAAAACUAGUUAGGAAUUUAUGCAUUUUCACUUUUGCUUUCCUCUUACUUUUCAUCUCUAUUUUCUUUUCCUUACAUUUUCCCUCAAAUUUUCCAGGAACCAAACAUAUUCUUGGAGUUUUUGAUCCUAAUGAACACUAGAUAUAAAGGGUUCAUCCUAAAAAAAUGUUGUUCUCUAAAACAGCAAAUAGUCCAAAGUGAAGAGCCUACCUCAGUGGAAGUGAAUAGUUUGUAGAAUUCAGGAAGUACCAUAAUUUCCAAGAUUCUUGCGUUAUUAACUAUUGUCUUGCAUAUAAUUCUUAGAAUGUGUGAUAUUAUAAUUCACAAUACAGUAAGAUAAAAAACGUCAUGGUUAGUUUUAAGGAUUCCAAAUGGAGGUACAAGUCUGAUAUAAUUCUAUUUUUCCAAGACACUUGAACACAUCAACAUCUAUGAAAGUGAAAAUACAAGUAUAGACAGAUGGCAAGACUCUCUUUCUGCAGCAGAUGCAGGGAGAGGAGUUGCAGGGUAGCACUCUGCUGCUAAAGCAAAACAGCAGCAUGGCAUGGGAAACUGCAUGCCAUGGGAGAAGUUCAGCACAAGUCAUAAGGCAGCAGGAGCUAGUCGUAAGCAAUGAUUGGCAUCUUGGCAGUUGACCACCAAGCACAAGCACCAUUGGUGCAAGUGAAGCAAUGGAUGAGCCAUGUGUUCAGCAGAAACAGUAAGGUGUUCAGGUGCUGCAAUGCAGCAUUGCUGAAAGCAAGACCCAGUCAUCAGGGAUUGAGACAAUUGGUUCCAUCUUAGAGCACUCAUGUAACUACCUCUACUGCCUUGUUGGCAUGGCUGAUCAGGAGGCCUAAACCUAGUUGUGAAUUUGUAACUACCCAAGGCUGCCUAGAAUUAGCCAAGGCAUUAUUCUGCCCUUACUCUUAUCGGGUUGCUGGUGGUCUUAUGGAACCCAAGGCCAAUUUCCUUCUAACAUUGUUAUGGAAGCCUAAACCGUAAUUUAGUGUAGCCUAGCAGUGUUUUUGAAUUGGAUUGGAUUGGAUGCUCAAGAAAAGGACAUAAAAUGAAUCAUUUACAGUUCCUAAAAAGUGGGAAUCCAUUCAUCCAAGGCUCCUAAGUGUUAGAUAGCCUAACUCUACAAUCCACGAUGCCUUCAUGGAGAAAAUGGGUACACAACCCAAGUACAUAGAUAGUAUGCAUGUCACAACAGUAUGUCAAGAAACAAGACUAGAUGAGAAAAACAAAUACAUAAAAAGUCAUCCUUUCCUCUGCUGCCAGUGAUCUCUACUUAAAGGGUCUUUCUAUCAGCACUAACUUCUACCAACCAAACCGACACCCAUUUAGACAGAAUGGUAAUGAGGAACAGAAUGACUACUCUACGAUCAUCAAUCACAGAGACAGGCCAUAGUCUCUAUAAAUGCAUUCUGAAAUUAUGGCUACCCAAUGGGGACUAAAAACUGGUACAUUGUAGGUCAAGCUACAAGGGGUGGAGAUGUUUGGCAAAAUUAUGAAUCCAGGCAGCAAAGGAGCUAAAGAGGAGUCCCAAUUCAACCCAAGAUCAGUUCCUAUAAUGUAGCAUAUUAACUAAGCAAGUCUAAUUCAUGAAAACUUAGGGGUUAGUAGGCAGAGGUUCAUACAAAACCAAACUCCGAAUUAAUGUGGAAAACUAUGUGGUUUUGUAAGUAACUGCCUACUUCAAUUCCCCAAUUUAAUGAAAAAGCGAUGUUGAAAGCCAUAGCCUGAUGGGAUUUUCAAUAAAUAAAAAAAGGCUUAUUUUACAUGAGGUCUGAUCUUUGUCGAUUGCAAGGAAAAGCAGUAUGGAAACCCUAAUUACAUCAACAAUUACAUAAUUCUUAACGGUAGGUUAAAAUGAAUAUCGUUUAAAAGCGUAAGAGCUUCGGGGCUUCAAACUCUGCGUUUCUUCAGCACAUAUACAGUUCUCUCGUAACUAGCUACCAUCCAUCGAUUCAAAUCAACUUCGAGUUUCAAAACAUCAUCCACACUCAUAAAAACCAAUCAAGAACUCCAAUUAAUUUUCAGGAAUGAAAAAUUACGACAUAAUUAAAUUAAUCCAUCAACGCAAUUUAAUCAUAUUGCAGAGAUUGAAAACGCAUGUUAUAUACAAACUAUUCACUAAAUAACUGAACUUAGAAAAUUUUUCUAAAAACUUUCCUGUUAUUCAAACAACAAUACCAAUCCAAAGCCUAGCAACUACCCAGUUAUCAAAUAUUUAACUGAUAAUCUUACUAAUCAUAGCUUGGGAAGUUAAAGCUAAACUCACCUGAGAUUGGUAUCAUCUAAUUCUUCACUUUUUUAGUUUCUCCAAUUUUCUUUCUUUCCGAACACUUUUUUUUACCUCCUCUUUUUUCCCUCCUCCGGAAGCAAACGAAGGGAAUUUGUAUAUAUAUAUAGUGAAAAUUUU
rnacentral:lncRNA from 1 species